GGUGGCUCAGUGAUAGAGUGUUUGCCUUGCAUGCAUGAGGCCCUGGGUUCAAUUCCUCAGCACCA
rfam:Dipodomys ordii contig_23423, whole genome shotgun sequence.